GUAUGUGUGUGUGUGUGUGAUGGGGGUGUAGUGAGUGGGAGUGGUUGUUAAAGGAGGAGUGAGAUAAUUGGGGAGUCUGUAUUCUCUCUCCCCCUCUCACUCCCCCAGCUCCACCAUUUCUCCACCUU